rnacentral:rRNA from 1 species
ACGGGAGGCAGCAGUAGGGAAUAUUGCACAAUGGGGGAAACCCUGAUGCAGCGACGCCGCGUGAGUGAUGAAGUAUUUCGGUACGUAAAGCUCUAUCAGCAGGGAAGAUAAUGACGGUACCUGACUAAGAAGCCCCGGCUAACUACGUGCCAGCAGCCGCGGUAAUACGUAGGGGGCAAGCGUUAUCCGGAUUUACUGGGUGUAAAGGGAGCGUAGACGGCUUUGCAAGUCUGAAGUGAAAGCUCGGGGCUCAACUCCGGAACUGCUUUGGAAACUGUAGAGCUAGAGUGCAGGAGAGGUAAGUGGAAUUCCUAGUGUAGCGGUGAAAUGCGUAGAUAUUAGGAGGAACACCAGUGGCGAAGGCGGCUUACUGGACUGUAACUGACGUUGAGGCUCGAAAGCGUGGGGAGCAAACAGGAUUAGAUACCCUGGUA